GACGAUGCGAAACCAAGGACGCGAUCCGUCUAAUACUAAACUCAAACACCCUGACACACAUCCAAAUGCCGUGAGAUUACUCAAAAGUUAUCUUGACAAGAGGAUCCAUCUGAAUUCAAACGCGGGCCGCACGCAUGUUUUCGGACAGAUGAAGGUCAUUCCAAACCCCGUCGACAGGUAUAGCGAUGGAUUACAUAUAUUUAGUGAACCAUAACCAUUCCUCCUAGCAGUCGCAUCUCAUCCCAUAUCGCAGCUUCCGCCUUACAACCAUAACCUGUUGGCAUUAAAAUCAUCGUCUGGCGUCUUCUGCCACUUUCAAACUGUUGUGUCCUUCGUUCGAGCAAGGUGUUUCACUCGCACCGCGCUCCUAGGCGAAGGCACACACACGGACACGGACACACAAGGGCCCGACCAGUUGGAAUCUUCGCAAACCAAUAAUGUCGCCGAUUACCUGCCCACUUCCCGCCAAAACACAAACUUAAAAAUAAAGAGUCUGCUAGGACGGUCGGUCCUCUGCAAGGCAGUAGCUAGGGCAGAUGUAAGAAACGCCAGUCAAUAGCGCAGAAACACGAGCAUCCAGCGGUCUUCAUUAAAAUUUGCUGAAGGAAACCAGCAAUAGUAAUAAACGGAUAGGACUUCCCCGUCAUACUUGUCGCACAUUACGCGUGCAGAUGUAAGAAACAAGAGCAGAUAGUAUCAGAAACAUACAACACAAAACAACCAUUUCGUGGUGCGCCAAGGGUGUCCGAGUCCGUAUCGAAGGCCCCCACACUCGUCACUGACUGUACCUGCCUGCGUCCCAAUUUCCAGGUAAAAGCAAACCAUCAACCGUCAAUUGUCAACUGUCCAACUGAAAACUUUGAUGAGGGCGGUCAUAUGUGCCGUGAAUAAUACGAUUAAAACGCCGCGUGCCUUAUCUCCCACAGAUAUGCCAGUCCACAGUACAGAACCGACGUGAAGGCCAACGUAAACUCGCCAGAGCACGUUGACAGACGGCUCCACGGGGUUGAUCGAAAGCAACGUUUCAGAUUCCGCUGUGUAAUUUUAGUACUAAAAUUACACAGCGCAAUAAAGAGGGCGCUUCAGAAUUAGGAAAUCAUACAGAAAUAAGUCGUUCGUAAGGUCAUCGGCCGAGGCAACCAAACCAUCGAAUUGUCCAAAUAGCCAACCAGAAAAACAGUAAAAAGAAAGCCCUGCUGGGGAAGCAAAUUACAAACCAACGAGGUUGCAGGUCGAGGUUACCGCGCGAGACGUGGAUACAGCACAAUAGAAACAAGUAGACUCAUAACGAUGUUGAUCAGGUAAAUUGCAGAUAAUUCAAAAUGAUAGGAAAAGCCGCAAAUAGGAGGUUAACUGAGGUAGGUCGAGGAUCGGAUGCUGGCGGGAGAGCUUUGCGCCCUCACAUCACGCAGACUCCCGAAACUCAACUCGCAGCGCCAUCUGCAAGUAGCCCCAAGCGCCACCUCUGCUAUUCUCCUCUCCUCUUCGCGGAUUGUGCUAAUUAACUAUUUAAAACGCAUCAACCAUGUGGCGUCCACAAUACCAGCUCACGAUUACGGACAGCACGGGUACGGCAUUCCUCGCUAGAUGUUGUACCC
rnacentral:lncRNA from 1 species